CUCAAAUUUGAAAUCCCUCGGGAGUUGUAAUUUGUAGGUYGGGAGCAGGCAGAARCAAAAAGAAAAAGUCCCUUGGAACAGGGSGCCUUGGAGGGUGAGAGCCCCGUAUUUCUUGGAACUUCUUCCCUAUCCCCUCCAAAGAGUCGAGUUGUUUGGGAAUGCRGCUCAAAGUGGGUGGUAAAUUCCAUCUAAAGCUAAAUAUUGGSGAGAGACCGAUAGCGAACAAGUACCGUGAGGGAAAGAUGAAAAGCACUUUGAAAAGAGAGUGAAACAGUACGUGAAAUUGUUGAAAGGGAAGGGCUUGCRAGCAGACACUUUUGGGCCASCAUCASUUGAAGGGGAUACASAAACAGGAGGGAAUGURGCUUUCGAGUAUUAUAUCCCUCUUUCAUAUAUCCUCCUUCGUCUGAGGCCUGCUUUUAUAGGAUGCUGGCGUAAUGGKUGCAAGCCGCCCGUCUU
rnacentral:rRNA from 2 species